rnacentral:tRNA from 1 species
AGUCGUACAGCUCAGUCGGUAGAGCAUUAGACUCUCAAUCUCAGGGUCAUGGGUUUGAGUCCCACUUUGGGUG